UUUUAUGAGAGUUUGAUCCUGGCUCAGGACGAACGCUGGCGGCGUGCCUAAUACAUGCAAGUCGAACGCUUCUUUUUCCACCGGAGCUUGCUCCACCGGAAAAAGAGGAGUGGCGAACGGGUGAGUAACACGUGGGUAACCUGCCCAUCAGAAGGGGAUAACACUUGGAAACAGGUGCUAAUACCGUAUAACAAUCGAAACCGCAUGGUUUUGAUUUGAAAGGCGCUUUCGGGUGUCGCUGAUGGAUGGACCCGCGGUGCAUUAGCUAGUUGGUGAGGUAACGGCUCACCAAGGCCACGAUGCAUAGCCGACCUGAGAGGGUGAUCGGCCACAUUGGGACUGAGACACGGCCCAAACUCCUACGGGAGGCAGCAGUAGGGAAUCUUCGGCAAUGGACGAAAGUCUGACCGAGCAACGCCGCGUGAGUGAAGAAGGUUUUCGGAUCGUAAAACUCUGUUGUUAGAGAAGAACAAGGAUGAGAGUAACUGUUCAUCCCUUGACGGUAUCUAACCAGAAAGCCACGGCUAACUACGUGCCAGCAGCCGCGGUAAUACGUAGGUGGCAAGCGUUGUCCGGAUUUAUUGGGCGUAAAGCGAGCGCAGGCGGUUUCUUAAGUCUGAUGUGAAAGCCCCCGGCUCAACCGGGGAGGGUCAUUGGAAACUGGGAGACUUGAGUGCAGAAGAGGAGAGUGGAAUUCCAUGUGUAGCGGUGAAAUGCGUAGAUAUAUGGAGGAACACCAGUGGCGAAGGCGGCUCUCUGGUCUGUAACUGACGCUGAGGCUCGAAAGCGUGGGGAGCAAACAGGAUUAGAUACCCUGGUAGUCCACGCCGUAAACGAUGAGUGCUAAGUGUUGGAGGGUUUCCGCCCUUCAGUGCUGCAGCUAACGCAUUAAGCACUCCGCCUGGGGAGUACGACCGCAAGGUUGAAACUCAAAGGAAUUGACGGGGGCCCGCACAAGCGGUGGAGCAUGUGGUUUAAUUCGAAGCAACGCGAAGAACCUUACCAGGUCUUGACAUCCUUUGACCACUCUAGAGAUAGAGCUUCCCCUUCGGGGGCAAAGUGACAGGUGGUGCAUGGUUGUCGUCAGCUCGUGUCGUGAGAUGUUGGGUUAAGUCCCGCAACGAGCGCAACCCUUAUUGUUAGUUGCCAUCAUUUAGUUGGGCACUCUAGCGAGACUGCCGGUGACAAACCGGAGGAAGGUGGGGAUGACGUCAAAUCAUCAUGCCCCUUAUGACCUGGGCUACACACGUGCUACAAUGGGAAGUACAACGAGUCGCGAAGUCGCGAGGCUAAGCUAAUCUCUUAAAGCUUCUCUCAGUUCGGAUUGUAGGCUGCAACUCGCCUACAUGAAGCCGGAAUCGCUAGUAAUCGCGGAUCAGCACGCCGCGGUGAAUACGUUCCCGGGCCUUGUACACACCGCCCGUCACACCACGAGAGUUUGUAACACCCGAAGUCGGUGAGGUAACCUUUUGGAGCCAGCCGCCUAAGGUGGGAUAGAUGAUUGGGGUGAAGUCGUAACAAGGUAGCCGUAUCGGAAGGUGCGGCUGGAUCACCUCCUUUCUAAGGAA
rnacentral:rRNA from 1 species